CCAGGAGGCCAACAGGGCCUUGUCUUCAGCUGGUGCUUGUGGAAGGAGUGUGUUAAUCUGCGAUAUGAGAUACAGUGUUCAUCCCACAGGGAGAGACGCCCUUGUGAACAUGGGAUAAAUGAAUUGCAGCUGGUCAUGGUGAAUGACGUUUUUUCUAUGUUUUUGGAUUCAGUUGACUAAAAUUUUGUUGAGAAUCUUUGCAUCUAUACUCAUCAAAGCAAUAUUGGCCUGUAAUUUUCUUUUUUGGUAGUAUCUUUGUCUGGUUUUGGGAUUAGGGUGAUUGUGGCUUCAUAGAAUGUCUUUGGAAUUAUUCUUUCUUCUCAACCUUUUGGAAAAUUUUAAAGAGAAUAGGUGUAAGUUCCUCUUUGUAUGUUUGGUGGAAUUUGCCUGCAAAGCCAUCUGGUCCUGGACUUUUGUUUGUAGGGAGUGUUUAAUUAUAUGUUCAAUUUCAUUUCUAGUGAUCUGUCUGUUCAGUUGAUGUGUUUCUUGUUGAUUCAGUUUUGGUGGGCUCUAUGUCUCUAGAGAGUGUCUGUUUCUUCUAGGUUGUCAAAUUUGUUGGCAUAUAAUUGUUCAUGGUAUUCUCUUAUGUUUUUUUGUAUUUCUGCAGCAUCUGUUGAGAUUUCUACUUUGUCAUUUCUCAUUUUGUUUGAGUUCUUUCUCUCCUCUUCUUGGUGAGUCUGGCUAGAGGUUUGUCAAUUUUGUUUACCCUUUCAAAGAACCAGCUCUUAGUUUGAUUGAUUUUUUUUUUCCUAAUGUUUUUUGGAUCUCUAUUUUAUUGAUUUCCUCUCUGAUCUUUUGUGAUUUCCUUCCUUCUGCUGACUUUAGGUUUUGUUUGCUCUUCUUUUUCUAAUUCCUUUAGGUGGUAGGUUUAAGUUGUCUAUUUGAGAUUUUUCUUCUUUUUUGAGGAAGGCCUGUAUUGCUAUGAACUUUCCUCUAAGCAGUGGUUUUGCAGCAUCCCAUAGAUUUUGAAUGGUUGUGUUUUCAUUAUCAUCUUUCUCGAGGUAUUUUUUAAUUUCCCUUUUGAUUUCCUCAUCGACCCAUUUUUUUUUUUUUUUAGUAGCAUGUUGUUUAGUCUCCAUGUAGUUAGUUUUCUUUUAAAUUUCUUUUUCUAUGGUUGAUUUCUAGUUUCAUGCCAUUAUGUUCAGAGAUGAUAGUUGAAAUAAUUUCUAUAUCUUAAAUUUGUUGAGGUUAGUUUUGUGCCCCUGUAUGUGGUCAAUUAUUAAGAAUGUUCCAUGUGCGCUUGAGAAGAAUGUAUAUUUUGUUUUUUUCUUUUUUUGAUGUAAUGUCCUGAAAAUAUCAAUUAAGUCUAACUUUUCUAUUGUGUCAUUUUGGAUAUCUGUUGCCUUAUUGCUUUUCUGUCUAGAGGACCUGUCCAUUUAUGUGAAUGGGGUGUUAAAGUCUACUAUUAUUGUAUUCCCAUCAAUUUCUCCUCUAAUAUCUGUUAGUAUUUGUUGUAUGUAUUUGGGUGCUCAUGUAUUAGGGGCAUAUGUACUGAUGAUUGUAGUAUACUCUUCUUGACUCAAUCAUUUUAUCAUUAAAUAGUGUCCUUCUUUGUCUUUCUUUGUGGCCUUCAUUGUAAAGUCUAUUUUGUCAGAUAUGAUUGUUGCAACUCCUACUUUCUUGUCUUUUCUAUUCACAUGAAAAUCUUUUUCCACCCCCUCAUUUUCAAUUUAUAUAUGUCCAUUGUCCUAAAGUUAGUUUCUUAUAGGCAACAUGUUGUAGGUUCUUGUUUUUUUGUAUAGUCCGCUGCUCUGUCUUUUGAUUGGAGCAUUCAGGCCAUUGACAUUUAAGGUAAUUAUUGAUACAUGUGUAUUUAUUGCCAUUUUAAACCUUGUUUUCCAGUUGAUUUUCUGUUUCUCAUUUGUUCUUUCUCUUUUUGUUUAGAUGAUUUCCUUUUAUUUUAUGCUUGUGUCCUGUUCUUUUUAGUGUUUGUGAAUGUUAUCAAUCUUUGGAAGGCCUAGAGUUGGGAGGAAAAUACAGAGAGGACAAAAAUUGCAGUAGGCAUGAGGUUUACAGGUCAUAUUCCUUUAAAGGUGCAUCUUCAAACAAAAUAGACUUGAGAUACCUAUUUUUGCUUUGACCAGAGAAAAGCCACAGUCACUUUGGUGUAUAUGACAUCAUCUAAGAAAAAUAGCACCUGCUUUGAUAAGUCCUUAUAUGAUAUAAGCUGUGCCAGUAGUUUGAAUGAGUGGCCUCUUAGGGUUCAACUUCAUGAGCUUCUUAAGAUUCUUUGGGUCCUUGGACUUAGUCGUAAUGGACUUAAGAGUUUCAGUUUGUUAUGUAUGAGCUGGUAAACACUUUACCUACAUGAUCUCAUUUAAUUCCCACCAGCAUCCCUUUAUUGUUGUUGGUAUAUUCCAGUUUUCACUAUGAUUGAGAGUAGGUUUAGGGCCUUACCCUCCCUGCUAAUAUCCAUGAAGGUUGGUCCUAAGCCCCAUCUCAGUGCAAUAUUUGGCUAAUGGAAUUUCCAUUCCAGGUUUAGAUUUUCAUUCUCUACAAACUAAAGAAUUAUUCUGAAUUGUGAUAAAUCAGUAUAUACUCUCAAGUGAAAUAUUUCAUCCACCAAUUUUUUUUUUUAUAUUUCUUCAUGUGGAUUCAUAAGAAUUUGGAUAGAAUUCCUAAAUGCUAUGCUCCAAGUAGGCUAUAAGCACAGCAGCAUAAUGAUGGCCUUUAUUUCUUGAUACUUUAGGACUUGGGUCACUUGCUUCUUGGUCACCAUGUUUCUUUCCCCCCAACAUUGUCUCUGUGACAUAGUGUGACAGAGGCACAGAGGCACUGGCCAUGGGGAGGUGGGCUGUCAGAUGAGCCUAAAUUCCAACUAGAUAUGGGCAGGGAGAACUGAGUGUCUAGUCUAGGUUAUGCUCCUUGGAAUUCCUGGGAGUGUGGAAGGAAGAAAUGAGAUUGACCUCAAGGAAGGGAUAUUUGUUGUGUACCAGAAUUUUCCGUUUCCUUCUUCAGAGAGUUGACUCUUUGCUUACAUAGUAUUUUUGUCUUCUACCAACUUGUAUAAAGAGUUUGAGACAGCUGGCAAGAAAAGGUUCACAAAUGUAUGUACAUAGAUAUAUAUCAAUGUAAACCCAUACAUUGUGUUUUACUUCCCUUGUUUUUGUAAUACCCAGUCCACUAUGAGGCUGGGUAUAGUAUGACCUACGAGUAGAGACAAAACUCUUGCAGAAAGCCUCUUUGAACUGCUUCAGAAUUUAGGGCAUGAGAUCUAACGGACUUAACCUAACUAGGGAGCUUCUGAGAGCAACAGUUACCCACUGGUCCUUAUGGCUACCAAGGAAAAACACUGACAGAGCUCCCCUGGAGCUCUGCUUCUUCUGGGUUGUGCCCGCAGCAUGUAGAAGUUUCCAGGCCAGGAUAGAGCCCUUCAUUUUGAUCUUAGGUCUGCUUCCCAAGUAACCUGCCAGGCUGUGUUAGUCAUAAAAGGCUCUCACCUGGAGAGAGCCAGAUUAUUGAAACUGGUGAUUUUCCAAUCAAAUGACGUGAGUCUGCUAAAAAACUAUAACUUGGGUUUUUUUCACAAUUGACAUUUCAUUGGUUUUUUUUUCCUUGUCAAGUAAUGAUGGCAGAUGAGUGACUUUACUUAAGACCAGACGCAGAAGCAACCAGAAAGACCCCUCCCCUUGUGCAUGAAGGGCAUAGCAGGGUGGGAUGUGUCAGUUAAUCCAGGAGCUGUAAGAAGUCGUACAGGUGCAUGUAUAACAGGGGAGAGGUCGGGCAGCUCUAUCUCCACUUACGGUUGGAAUUUGUUCCUUCAGAAUUCUGUUCCUCUUCACUCUGAGUGUUAUAUCAGUAUCACAGCAGAGCCUGGGAGAAACAGGAAAAGCAAAGGGGUCUCCAUCCAGAUAAUGCAGUUUGGUUUACAAGGGUUCCUGGCCACAAAGUCACAGUUCCGGAAGUUUCCCUGCUAGCCCAUCCCUCAGAGAUGUGACUGGGGCCAGCUGCCCUGGGUGAUGAGGUGGGAAGGCCCUGGGCUGGUGAGGUCAGGAUGCAGGUGCUGGUGCUGAGAGGACCCAGAACAACCAGUGUUAAGUAGGAAAAGCCUCUUAACCUUCCUAACCCAGCUCUCUCUCGGUCAAAACCUCUAUGACCUGUGAUUACUCUCUGCACGUUACUCAUGCCACACUUCCCUCUAAGAAAAGCAUUCAGAUAUUCUUUCCUGUGUUUGCCCAGUGCUCUGUGCCUUGUCCAGAUGGUCAUGGAUUUAUAUCCAUCUGGGAUCAUAAACUGAAGAGGCCUUGGCCCAGGCUGAGUGAAUCAGCCCAUCCCCAGCAGCCCACCCUGCUUUCCUAGCACAGGGACACUGAGUGUCGCCUGCACUCUUCUCACCUGAAGCUGUGCACCAUGUGUCAUACUUUUCCUGAUAAAGAUGGAUACUUAAGUCAGCAUCAGCCAGUGGCUUAGGUUUCUAUUCUUCCUGCUGUAUUUUUAGAUGAAGGUCAUUUCCUGAGAUUUAAAAUCACCUCGUGAGAUGAGGUGAUGAUUAAGUGAAUGUUCCUAGACCUCUUGGCACAGUGCCUGGUAUGCAGUAAACACCUGGUAAAUGGCAUCUGCUGUUUUCACCAUUAGCCUUUGAAAUGGACAUUUAGAUACUUAGCAUAAUGAAAGAAAGCUGGCUUAUAUGGUGGGGCAAACUUAAAUAUGUCACAGUGGCUCAUAACCUGGGCUCCCUGGCUCUGUGACUUAUGCUUUGCCGUCUCCACCAAGUUGCAUUUCCUCUCCCUGUGCCUCAGUAUUUCCAUCUGUAAAAUGAGACCAUACUGUUACUCAGUAGUGCUGCUGUGAGGAGUAAGGAGGUAAUAGGCAUGAAAUAUUGAACGUAUGGCCCUGUACACAGUCCGCACUCAGUAAAUGUUAACUAUGGUUAGAAGACCAAGGAAAGGGAGUUCCUACUUCCAAAGGUCACCAUGUGACUUUUUCCCUACCUUUCUGGUCACUAAAUUUAUAAUUAGCCACUCCUUUAUCCCUACACAUGUAGCAGAGGCUUCUGGAUCCCUCAUCUAUGCUACCCGUGUGGUCAUCUACCUACUAACACCUGAUGACUCCUGAUAAUUGGGAUUCAAGCCCUACUCUCUGAGCCUCAAAUAUUCUCCUCUGUUAAAAAUAGCAAUGC
ensembl:lncRNA